rnacentral:rRNA from 1 species
CUCCUACGGGAGCAGCAGUGGGAAUAUUGCGCAAUGGGCGAAAGCCUGACGGCUAGCGACGCCGCGGUACGGGUGAUGAAGGCCUUACGGGUUGUAAAGCCCUGUGGGAGAGAAGAAGUAAGUACGGUGUAAUAUCCGGCUGGAGUGACGGUACCUUCAGAAGACGGCCCGGCUAACUACGUGCCAGCCGCCGCGGUAAUAC